UGGGGAAUAUUGGACAAUGGGCGAAAGCCUGCUCCCUCAAUACCGCGUGUGUGAAGAAGGCCUUAGGGUUGUAAAGCACUUUCAAUUGGGAGGAAAACCUGCCGGUCAAUACCCGGUAGCUUGACAUUACCUUUAGAAGAAGCACCGGCUAACUCCGUGCCAGCAGCCGCGGUAAUACGGAGGGUGCGAGCGUUAAUCGGAAUUACUGGGCGUAAAGCGUGCGUAGGUGGUUCGUUAAGUCAACAGUGAAAGCCCUGGGCUCAACCUGGGAACUGCAUUUGAAACUGGCGGACUAGAGUUUAGUAGAGGGGAGUGGAAUUUCAGGUGUAGCGGUGAAAUGCGUAGAUAUCUGAAGGAACACCAGUGGCGAAGGCGACUCCCUGGACUAAAACUGACGCUGAGGUACGAAAAAGGGAGUAGAAAACAGG
rnacentral:rRNA from 1 species